CCUACGGGCGGCAGCAGUGAGGAAUAUUGGUCAAUGGACGAGAGUCUGAACCAGCCAAGUAGCGUGAAGGAUGACUGCCCUAUGGGUUGUAAACUUCUUUUAUAAAGGAAUAAAACGAGGCACGUGUGCCUUUUUGCAUGUACUUUAUGAAUAAGGAUUGGCUAACUCCGUGCCAGCAGCCGCGGUAAUACGGAGGAUCCGAGCGUUAUCCGGAUUUAUUGGGUUUAAAGGGAGCGUAGAUGGGUUGUUAAGUCAGUUGUGAAAGUUUGCGGCUCAACCGUAAAAUUGCAAUUGAUACUGGCAGUCGUGAGUACAGUUGAGGUAGGCGGAAUUCGUGGUGUAGCGGUGAAAUGCUUAGAUAUCACGAAGAACCCCGAUUGCGAAGGCAGCUUACUAAACUGUGACUGACAUUGAUGCUCGAAAGUGUGGGUAUCAAACAGGAUUAGAUACCCCAGUAGUC
rnacentral:rRNA from 1 species